rnacentral:rRNA from 1 species
CCUACGGGGUGCUGCAGUGAGGAAUAUUGGUCAAUGGACGAGAGUCUGAACCAGCCAAGUAGCGUGAAGGAUGACUGCCCUAUGGGUUGUAAACUUCUUUUAUAUGGGAAUAAAAUGUUCCACGUGUGGGAUUUUGUAUGUACCAUAUGAAUAAGGAUCGGCUAACUCCGUGCCAGCAGCCGCGGUAAUACGGAGGAUCCGAGCGUUAUACGGAUUUAUUGGGUUUAAAGGGAGCGUAGGUGGAUUGUUAAGUCAGUUGUGAAAGUGUGCGGCUCAACCGUAAAAUUGCAGUUGAAACUGGCAGUCUUGAGUACAGUAGAGGUGGGCGGAAUUCGUGGUGUAGCGGUGAAAUGCUUAGAUAUCACGAAGAACUCCGAUUGCGAAGGCAGUUCACUGGACUGCAACUGACACUGAGGCUCGAAAGUGUGGGUAUCAAACAGGAUUAGAUACCCGGGUAGUC